rnacentral:tRNA from 1 species
UGAGAAGUGGCAGAGUUAAAAGGCAUUAGACUGUAGAUCUAACCACAGGAAAUUAAUCCUCUUCUUAA